AGGUCUGGGAGAGGUGACUGCCGAGGCGGCCAUCCUGCUUGGCCAGCUGAAGGUUUGAGACUCAGGAUGGGGUCAUGGCUGAGACUAUGAGGGCUGCUCGUGCAUGACCCUGCCUGCUGGCCUCCAUGGGCCCACUAUCUGAAUGUGGUUACCCUUCUCCCCAGGACCAGGUGCCACCUCCUCUGGGAAGCUUUCCCUGCCCGUCCACAGGGUAUGCCUCCUUGUUCCUCUCCUGCCAUCGGUUUACGUGCCUGUCUCCAUCAACAGACCAGGAGCUCCUGAGGACAGGGACUGAGUCUGCCUGAUUCAUCUCUGCAUUCCUAGCACUUACCUUGGUGCUUAGUGAAAGCUCGAACCUGCCUGGGUUCCCACCUUGUCUCUGCUACCCCCAGCUCUGUGAACUCAGCUCCUGCCUCUGUGAGUCACCCCCCCAAGUGCUCUGCCUGCAGCCACUUGCCCUGGCAGGAAGACCCUUGGGCAGGCCCCACCAUGGCUCCACUCUGGAAUGCUGGGCACUUUGCCCCACUACGCUCUACAAAGGCAUCCCUUCCUUCUGGGCAGAUAUAAAACACAGAGGGGCCCAGAUCUCAGGCCAGCCUGAACUGAGCUUCUCUGCAGGAUGAUCUCCUCACCAGAACCCCUGGACAGGAGGGUCUGCCAGAUCCCAGGAAGGAGAUGUGUGAAGCCAGCCUUGGUGACACUCCUGGGCCCCAUCCAGUCAGUUAUGAAAAGUCUCUGCUGCUAAACUCAUCUGCCUCAGCCUGUCUCUGGCCUGUCUUCUUUCUUUCUGCAUUUCUUCCUUUUAAAAAAGUUUAUUGCUCUUUUCUAAUGUUAAAAGUAACACAUACUGAUUGCAGAAAAUCCAGAAAAGCACAAAGAAAAAAAUUAAAAUCACUCGUAAUGUCAACAUGCAGUGACAUCUACUGAUGUUUGAGUGUGUGUCCAUAUAGUCUUUUUGUAAGGUCCUGGACAGAGCAAGCAAGCAGUCUUUUUUGAUAUCCACAGAAUAACUUGCUAGGGUCUUGAUUGGAAUGGCAUCGGGUCUAUAAAGACUGACAUCUUGAUGAUAUUGAAUCUUCCUAUCCAUGAACAUGGGAUAUCUCUCUAUUUAUUUAGUUCUUUGAUUUUCCAGUCUUUUUUCUAUGUCUGAAUUUUGUUGACUGAAAACACCCUCUAAGUAGGUUUCAGUCCUGCUUUCUCCCUUAAUGUUAUGUCAUGUUAAGCCUCUCUCUAAGCAGAGAUGUUAAUUACUGCCUCAUUUUCCAAUAUGUGGAGACACAGAAAUGUGCCUAACCAUUCACCAUUAUUGUACUUCUAGGUUGUUUUCAGGUUUGUCACUAACUAUAAAAACAAUAAUAAAAUCA
ensembl:lncRNA LINC02517 long intergenic non-protein coding RNA 2517